rnacentral:lncRNA from 1 species
AAUCCCAAUGCAUCUGGAGAGCAUCAGACUGGGAAAACCUGACUGAAGGAAUCUACAAAUAAGAAACAAAUAAGCAACAGUUUGUGCUUAAAAUCUCCUGAAACCAAGGGGAGGAGAGCUUAAGGGCCCAGUGACAAUAGCUCACAGAAAUGAGU